GAGCAUAUACUCAACGUUUUCUGGGUUAGCUGUAAUGGUAUUGCCAAGAACAUGUAUAUGGAUUGUUUUGGUGGCAGAGUUCUUUAGAAGAUGAGCAUACCAAUCACAAAGGUUAUUGAAUUGAUUGGUCCAACUCAAGGUGAGAUAAGCAUUGCAUAUCUCACAAUUGCACCAGAGCUUUAAUCUCAGUGAGUAGAUUGCGAGAGACAAAAGAAAGAAAGUUAUGAUGGCCAAUAAAAGAAAGAAGUAGAUGGAACGGAGAGCUUCUAAAAGCCAGAAGGAAGCUUCAAUCUCCAUUAAUGGAUAAAGAUUUGU
rnacentral:misc_RNA from 1 species